UGUAUGUGAGUUGGCCCACAAUAAGACUCAUGCCUGCGUAUCCCUCAUGGGAGUGCCGUUUUCUGUGGAAGUAUUUCCCACAGGAACAUGAACAAGUGGCAGUACAACCUCUACUGAAAGUGACAGAGAGAGCGAGAGACGGAACAGCUUCACCUGGUUAAUCUGCAUCCUCUUCAUGCUCCUACACCUUGAGCUAAACUCACUGAAACAAGAACUAUGAAUGGAGCAGGAAGGGCCAACUGAUGGACGGGAUCUCCCUCUCGAUGCGCGCCGCCGCCCCCAUCAGCUGCAUGGCGAACGACACCCGCAUGCCGCCGUGGAAGUUCAGCUCAUCGGCAUCAUACGCCUCCACCUGGCAGGAGAGAGAGAAAGGAAAAGAGUUAUGGAGCAAAGAGGUCGAUACUCAAUCUUAUCACUAUUAUUAUUAUUAUGCCUUUGGUGCAGGGCUGAUUCUGAUGUGUCAUUUAUCCCUUAAUGCAAUCAAUAUUUGACAAACACAAUAAACUUUAUAGUUUAAUCCUAAUAUGGAAAAAAGUCAAGAGUAUACGUGCCUCCAGGGAAAAAAAUAGGAACAUGAAUAUAAGAAGACUCUUGGGAAAACUAUGAGAGUUGGCAAAUUGCAGUAAGGGGUCAUAAAUAAAUGGAUGAGGG